CUUCAUUUUCAAGCCACUUUCAUGAUGAUCAAGAUGCAUUUUCAUGGAACUUAGGAGGAUCUAAGGCAACCACAAGUAGAAGCAAGCAUUUCCAUCCAUCUAAGGGCUUUCAACCAUCAAAUCUUCAUAUUCUUUGCUUUUCAUUUUCACCUAGAUCAUCCCUAGCCAAGAGCUAGAAGUCGCAACGCUAUUCAGGACGACCGCACAUGAGAUCUUAUUUUCAUCUAUUCACAGGACGCGAUACUGGAAUUAAAGGACCAUGUCGGGAUUCUCAGUCAAGAUAACAAGUACCAGAACUCCAUGCCAUCUUUUGGAGGGUUUAACUGUUAUAUUCGGCCUC